GUGAGGAAUUUUGCGCAAUGGGGGAAACCUUGACGCAGCAACGCCGCGUGAGUGAUGAAGGCCUUCGGGUCGUAAAGCUCUGUCAAGUGGGAAGAAUCUGAUUAUUGUUAAUACCAGUAAUCACUGACGGUACCAUUGAAGGAAGCACCGGCUAACUCCGUGCCAGCAGCCGCGGUAAUACGGAGGGUGCAAGCGUUAUUCGGAAUUAUUGGGCGUAAAGAGCGCGUAGGCGGCCAGUUAAGUCAGAUGUGAAAUCCCGGGGCUCAACCCCGGAAGUGCAUUUGAAACUAAUUGGCUUGAGUAUGGGAGAGGGAAGUGGAAUUCCUGGUGUAGAGGUGAAAUUCGUAGAUAUCAGGAGGAACACCGGUGGCGAAGGCGACUUCCUGGACCAAUACUGACGCUGAGGCGCGAAGGCGUGGGGAGCAAACAGGAUUAGAUACCCCAGUAGUCC
rnacentral:rRNA from 1 species